rnacentral:rRNA from 1 species
GAUGAACGCUGGCGGCGUGCCUAAUACAUGCAAGUCGGGCGAACAGAUGAGGAGCUUGCUCCUCUGACGUUAGCGGCGGACGGGUGAGUAACACGUGGAUAACCUACCUAUAAGACUGGGAUAACUUCGGGAAACCGGAGCUAAUACCGGAUAAUAUAUUGAACCGCAUGGUUCAAUAGUGAAAGACGGUUUUGCUGUCACUUAUAGAUGGAUCCGCGCCGCAUUAGCUAGUUGGUAAGGUAACGGCUUACCAAGGCAACGAUGCGUACCCGACCUGAGAGGGUGAUCGGCCACACUGGAACUGAGACACGGUCCAGACUCCUACGGGAGGCAGCAGUAGGGAAUCUUCCGCAAUGGGCGAAAGCCUGACGGAGCAACGCCGCGUGAGUGAUGAAGGUCUUCGGAUCGUAAAACUCUGUUAUUAGGGAAGAACAAAUGUGUAAGUAACUAUGCACGUCUUGACGGUACCUAAUCAGAAAGCCACGGCUAACUACGUG